AUUCCAUGAUGAGGGCACUUUCAUCAUAAUUAUUUGUACCUUUCCCAUGCCUCAUACAAGGACUUCUCAUCCAUUUGUUGGAAAGUAGUGCUCUCAUUCCUCAACUU
rfam:Gossypium hirsutum cultivar TM-1 chromosome 12, whole genome shotgun sequence